ACCGUGAGGGAAAGUUGCAAAGCACUUUGAAGAGAGAGUUAAAGAGGACGUGAAACCGGUAAGGUGGAAACGGAUAGAGUCGGCGUAUCAUUCAAUUAUUCAGUUACAUUAUUUUUAUGUUGUGACCUCUGAGCUCCAGAUUGGGACAGAGGGAAUCAGCAUAAUUUUUUGUGGUGCAUUUACUUGAUUGGUGCUUGGGGAUGUUUGAGGCAGAUUUGUUUCCGUCGUUUUGAGGCCAGCUUGCUGGUACCCAAACGGUGUUAGCAUUUUUUGUCUUGGGCAUUUGAGUAUGGCUCACGUGUAUUUAUUGGACAGAUCUGAGUGUAAGUUACGGUCGCAUGCGACACGUGCUUUUCAAUUAGUUCGGUCCAGUUAAUGCUCUCGUACACGUUCCCCAUGUAAAAGCCGGUCAUCUAUCCGACCCGUCUUGAAACACGGACCAAGGAGUUUAUCGUGUGCGCAAGUUUUUGGGUGUUAAAAACUUAAAAGCGAAAUGAAAGUAAAUGACUCUUUAGAGUCUGAUGUGCGAUCUUGUAAAAAAGUGUAGCAUGGCCCCAUUCUAACUGUUUACAGUAGGGUGGCGGAAGAGCGUACGCGGUGAGACCCGAAAGAUGGUGAACUAUUCCUGAGCAGGACGAAGCCAGGGGAAACUCUGGUGGAAGUCCGAAGCGGUUCUGACGUGCAAAUCGAUCGUCUGACUUGGGUAUAGGGGCGAAAGACUAAUCGAACCAUCUAGUAGCUGGUUCCUUCCGA
rnacentral:rRNA from 1 species